ACCAUUCAACAAUGAUAACUCAGUCCCCAGUGCUGAGCAUGCUGUACGCAGGAGACUCUGUAGUAAUGAACUGUACAGUACAGACAGCAAUCGAAUCAACGGACAUCAGAGUGUUCUGGUUCAGAGCAGCUGAGGAUGAUGCCCAUCCAGCAGUCAUCUACAGUGGCACGAACCAGAGCAGCCUUUAUGGAAGAGGUUGUAACUACACUAGCAGCCUCGCUAGUAGCAACCUCAGCCUCACAGACUGCGGGACUUACUACUGUGCUGUCUCCACCUGUGGACAUGUGCUGUUUGGAAAUGGGACAGUCCUGAACAUCAGAGAACCCGUGACUCCUCUGGUGUAUGGCCUCAGUGCUGCGGUUGGAGUCUGCUUUCUUCUUCUUGGUCUAUUAAUGUACAUCAUCUGCAAGAACAAAACAAGCCAAUGCUGUGAAGGGGAGCAAGGAGAAAAUCCGGAAACAAAUGAGGACGUACUGAAUUAUGCCACAGUGAAUGUGGCUGGCCAGAGCACUAGAAGAGGGAGGCAGCAUGAAGACACUGAAUACACACAAGUGAAAUAUUCUGUUAAGUGAUGCUGAAUUGUUAAUUAAACUUAGAUCUGAAUAAAUACUAUUAUAUGAUACACAAUACAUUAACUUCAUUGUGAGGAUGAAAACUCUCUGUCCAAGUGGAAUUUAAUUAUCUGACUAUGUGAAUGGGCUUGUCAUUCAUUCAGUAUUUGUGCCACAGACUCAUAAAUAAUUGACCUACUAAGUGUUUCUGGUUUUGAACUACAGAUUGUAGAUGAGAUGCAGAAAAUGGACUGCUAGCAUUGCCCAACAUGGUGGUCACCCAUUAUCUUUGUCGAUCUUUGACAAACUGAUGCACAAAUCAGUGUGUGGUCAAUGUUUGAGACAGCCCCGAGGGUGGAUGUGGUGUGCCAUGUACUGCAUAUGGCAUUUAUAUCACGUGUGAACAUCUGGGGAUGUGGUGGUGUAUUGGUGUAUGUGUUGUAGUGUAGCGGUAUGUAUGUAAGCUUAUGCUAAGUUUGAGUGGUACAUGUAUGUUGUGUAUGUAUAGAUGAGAAAUUCAGUAUAUGUGUUUCAUGUAGGCCUAUGUACUCUCUCUAUACGAUGUGUCACCAACUCUUGA